GACGAACGCUGGCGGCGUGCUUAACACAUGCAAGUCGAGCGGAGCGGCGAACGGGUGAGUAACGCGUGAGUAACUUCCCCCCUCUCUGGGAUCACCGUUGGAACCGGCUGCUAAUACCGGAUAGUGGGGGAUGACUCGCGUCCUAUCAGCUUGUUGGUGGGGUAGUGGCCUACCAAGGCGACUCCGGGUAGCCGGCCUGAGAGGGCGACCGGCCACAUUGGGAGGAGAAACGGGCCAAACGCAUACGGGAGGCGGAAGUGGGGAAUAUUGCAAAAUGGGGGAAAGCCGGAUGCAGCAACGACGAGGGAGGGAGGACGGCAUUCGGGUUGUAAACCGCUUUCAGCCAGGACGCGGUAGUGGCAGAAGAAGCACCGGAUAACGACGAGCCAGCAGCCGCGGUAAUGC
rnacentral:rRNA from 1 species